rnacentral:rRNA from 1 species
GAGUUUGAUCCUGGCUCAGGUUUAACGCUAGCGGGAGGCUUAAUACAUGCAAGUCGAGGGGCAGCAGGACCGAACCUAGUUUGGUUGCUGGCGACCGACUAACGGGUGAGUAACGCGUACGCAACUUUCCUCUAAGGGAAGAAAAAAAUCCUGGAAACUGGGAUUAAUACCUCAUGGUAAUCACUGAUCGCAUGAUCUGGUGAUUUAAAGCUCCGGCACUUAGAGAUAGGCGUGCGUCCCAUUAGCUAGUUGGUGAGGUAACGGCUCACCAAGGCGACGAUGGGUAGGGGGGCGUGAGAGCGUGACCCCCCACACGGGUACUGAGACACGGACCCGACUCCUACGGGAGGCAGCAGUAAAGGAUAUUGGACAAUGGGCCGCAAGCCUGAUCCAGCCAUCCCGCGUGCAGGAUGACUGCCCUAUGGGUUGGAAACUGCUUUUACAAGGGAAGAAACUCCUGGGCUUUUAAGCUGGGCUGACGGUACCUUGGGAAUAAGCACCGGCUAACUCCGUGCCAGCAGCCGGCGGUAAUACGGAGGGGGGCAAGCGUUAUCCGGAAUUACUGGGUUUUAAAGGG